CUCACGAGUCACGCUCUCACCCUCACCUUCCUCAAAUCUCAUCUCAUGAUUUUGCCUCUCAUGCUCCUUCGACGGUCGUCCCGUCGGUGUUCUCCAAAAUCUCUCUCUACUCCUUUGACAUCUAACCUAGCCACCCUCGCUGCUUCGACGGUCAUCCUAACAAUGUUUCGCCCAUAGAUGUACGAUUUUGGCAUCUUCAUUCAAGCCUAGCCACCCUCGUCUUCCUCUCUACUUCUCUUCCUCGCUGUUCAUUCACUUCAAGUCUAUCGGGGUCUUCCACCGGCAUCUUACCCAUAGAUCUAUGAUUUCAACGUCUUCCAAGACCAGCCGCUAUCGUCUUCCUCUCUACUUUUUUUCCUCACUGUUCAUUCAUUUCAAGCUCACCGACGUCUUCCACCGGCAUCUCACCCUCAGAUCUGUUUGGUUGUUGUUCGUUCAUUUCAAGCUCACUUGUCGCCGUCUCCUCCCAUCCAAGGUGAAAAUGACUUUAUCAAAUAAUUAUAAGUUAGAAUAAGGUGGCUCAACUCCAACAUUUAUGAACAGGAGUGAAUCAACCUCAAUGAAUAAUGUUUCAAGUGAUAAUGAUCAAUCUACACCUAUUACAUUAGGUAGUGAUGAUAAUGGGGAUUUAUUAAAACGUAAUUAGUUGAUACUGGUACUAUGAAACCAUUAUAAAAGAAAAAAAAUAAAUGAUACCAUGAACCCAUCGGUCCACUAUGUCAAAAAUAGUGUGAGAUGAGAUGAUAGAUCACCCCUACUAGUCUAACAUGUAUCACAUACAUAACUCAUAAUAGGUCCCAUAACACAAUUAUAAUGUAACAUAACAUAUUGUUUCAGCUUGCACAUAGUCCUCAUAAUCUUCCUGAAUCAUAGAAAAAUCACAUAAUCCAGGUAAAUGACCUAAAAAGAAAUCCAUCAUUAACUUAAUAUUUUUUAACUUGGACGCCUAGCACAAAAGUACCGAUAAUAGUUUCACUUACCUCAAGAUCAAAUCUAGAUAUAAGCAAGUUAUCCACGUAAAAUCAUUGAAUUCGAAAUCACUCCUAAAACAGGAAUCAAAACUUAAAGUUAACAUUUAAGUUCUAAAUUCAACCACCAAAUCAUCCAAAUAAUUUCUAACAAAUCUAAACAAUUUUCACCCACAAUGUGAUGGUCCAAAAUCACCAAAAAUCAAUCUCCACACCCACUGGACAACACCUCAAUUCCUUCCAAAAACUUCAAUUCAACCUUCAAAUGCCAAGAGCCAAAAGAAUUUAGGCCAAACAUUGAUUGGGUACACAAGACACAUCAUGAAAUCUAUCAAAGAAAAACCCAAAUCCAAAUGGGUAACCAUAAACUAGCAAGAACUAGAAAGAAACUCACAAAGAAUUCGCCCAAACGCCACAAUACUUGUUGGACAGUAAUUUGAAAUACCUCCAAAUCUUCAACAUAAAACCCAAACACAACGGACGUCAACUAACCAAAGCUAGAACGUUAAUGGCAUUCGAGAUAACCCACUAAAAUUCGACGAAAAACAAAAAAAGGAUCUCACCCAAUGGAACCUCUAAUGAGCCCACUGGACAGUACUAGCGCAAGCUGCACAUCGACAACAAUAGAGAACUGAAUUGAUGGACGGCGACGUUCUACCUUCGGCUGGGCUGAAGUCUACCGAUCAAGGUGUGGGCGCUAGCGACUGGACACACGAAUGAUGGACUAUUGGGUUUUAUACCCUAAAAUUCGUAGAUAAAAAAUGUAAAUAAUUGACUAUUAUCAAUAAAGAGUUAUCGAUGUUGUUACAAUAA